UCGAGUGGCGGAACGGGUGAGUAAUGCAUGAGAAUCUGCCCUUUUGCCUGGGGGAUAACGUAGGGAAACUUACGCCUAAUACCGCAUAAGACCUAAGGGUGAAAGCGGGGGAUCUUCGGACCUCGCGGCGAGAGAUGAGCUCAUGUUGGAUUAGCUAGUUGGUAGGGUAAAGGCCUACCAAGGCGACGAUCCAUAGCUGGUCUGAGAGGAUGAUCAGCCACACUGGGACUGAGACACGGCCCAGACUCCUACGGGAGGCAGCAGUGGGGAAUAUUGGACAAUGGGGGCAACCCUGAUCCAGCAAUGCCGCGUGUGUGAAGAAGGCCUUCGGGUUGUAAAGCACUUUCAGUAGGGAGGAAAGGUGCGUAGCUAAUACCUACGCAAUUGACGUUACCUACAGAAGAAGCACCGGCUAACUCCGUGCCAGCAGCCGCGGGUAAUACGGAGGGUGCGAGCGUUAUUCCGGAAUUACUGGGCGUAAAGCGCACGCAGGCGGUUGCCCCAAGUCAGAUGUGAAAACCCCCCGGGCCUUAACCUGGGGGAACUGCCUUUUGAAACUGGGGCGACCUAGAGUAUGAAAGAGGAAAGCCGAAUUUCCCGUGUAGCAGUGAAAU
rnacentral:rRNA from 1 species